rnacentral:lncRNA from 1 species
CCUACGGGACCAACACGCAAAAAAAUAAUUCACUAAGAGAAAAGAUUACAAGAUGAUUACCGACUCCUCGGACUCGACCUCUCUUAACCUCCUAUGAAUCUCGCGCAAACCUCCAGGUUGUCCAUGCCCUCACGUUCGAAUCCACGAACGCCACGUUCCGAAUCCACGAAAUGCCUCUACUCCGAAUCCACGAAGCUCACGAUCCGAAUCCACGAACCGCCAUCAAUUACACCGAAUCCACGACGUCGUCAUGAAGAGCAUCAUGUGUAUGGUGAUCCUUCGCUUAGAGUAUCGAUGAAAACCAGAAAAUAAAUCUCCAAGCGAAGCAAAGAUCAAAUCGACAUAUUGAUAUCAAAUUACAAUCUCUCGAUUUGACCUAAAAGAGACUUUAUGAAGAAAAUAGGUUUAGAUGAAAUCCGAGCCUCUAGGGUUUCUCAAACAUAUAUUUUCGUGAUGCUUGAUAUGUUAGAGAACCCCAAUAACUUAUUUAUAGACUUUAGAAUCAAUCGGAGUCAGAUUAUAAAGUUUUCACAAUUUUACACAGUGUACCGGUACACGUGAGGCUGUCACCGGUUACGCGAUGACGGAAUAAAAAUCUGCGAAGCCAAAGUCGAUGGCUGUACCGGUACGGGUAAAUUGCUGUACCGGUACACAGUGCAUUUUUCAGACUUAGCACUGUUUCGGGUUCCGCAGAGUUCCGAAACACUUUCUAAUCAACUAAACAUCGAUAAUAAUGAUUCUAAUGCCUAUAACUAAGUAUGAAUCACCAUAACAUGAAGUAAAGACUUUAUCUGAGCAUCAUGAUUCAUGUCGUCAGUUAUUUCCGCCUUCUCCGAAGUCUUGGAUUCUUCGUUCUUCGAUGAUAUGCUCCGAAACCUUCAAGACUCCUACUCAAUCCACGAAACUUGCCAACAUACAAGACUUAACAAUCUCCCCCUUUGGUAAUUUUGUGACAAAACUCACAAUAAGUCAAAAUUUACAUCUUAAAGAAAAACGAAAUUCAAAUGUCAUCACCAAAAUAUUGAACUCCUCGCGUGUAGUCCAAAUACAAUAAAAAACUCAAAAGUACAUCAUAAACUCAUAAAAUAGACUCUAUGACUUAGACGCAACUAGGAAUCUUGAAGUCUUGAUGUCCUGCAAAACAGAUCAACCAAAAAGAUAUAGAAAUCUUACAUUCAAUUCAAUGUUCUUAUUGUACUUGAUCCUUCUCCCCCUUUGUUCAUCACUUCUCCCCCUUUGGCCAUCACUUCUCCCCACUUUACUUUAAAUUCAUCCUCUCCAUCCUCUGCUUUGAUCAAUACCUGUUCCUCUUAUGAUCUCCCCCUUUUUGUCAAAAAUUGCCAAAAGAAAGCAUAUAAAUAGGAAAUACACUAAGAAGCAAAAGAGUAGUCAAGUCAUAGUUACAGGCCUAAAGCAAAAACAAAAACAUGCAAAGGUAAGAUAAAGACACUAAGCUAAACUAAAACAUCAUCCUACAAAGCAAACAUAGUGAAGUAAACAGACUGAGCUCGAGGAAGAAAUCACUCCGUGUCCUCGUCAUCAUCAUCGUCAGCUCCAGCUCCAGCUCCAGCUCCAGCUCCAGAACCUCCCGCAUCCGAAGCUCCAGUAGAUGGAGGAAUAAGAGGAUGUCGCGAUGUCGAUCUGGUGUAAGUGGUGUAGUUAGGCUGAGUAGGAAAUAUAUCAUCAUGCCUACAUCCCAAUUUUUCCAUCAUCCUCUUCAUGCCCACCUCCACCUUCCUAGCAAGAUCUGCCACUUUCUUCUUUAAUAAUCGCACCUCAUAGUGAAGUGAUUCUACAGUAAUCACUCCCCCUGAACUGGAAGAUCCCUCACGCUCUGCUCGAGGUGGAGGUGCCGGGCUAGAAGCUGCUCGCGAUGGUCCUUUCGUUUGCUGAAAAGCCUUUAGCAUGCUAACCGACUUGGCCCAGAUAACAGCAUCGAUUGGACCAAGACCAAAAUCAUACUUCUCGCAAGAAACAUCUACUCCAUUCUCCUGCAGAAUCCUCGCGAUCAAUAGAGGAAAUGGAAGUAGAUCCCGUCGGGCAGAAGCUUGAAUGACAUGAACCAUCCGCUGCCACAUCAGAAAAGGGAUGUUGACGUUCAAACCAUAUGUUUGCUCCGAGUGACCAAGUAGAUAUAGCAGAACCAAACGAUCCCAACGAAUCCUCUUUGUUCCAAUCGUUGGUUGCAUAUUGUAGCUCAAAACCAAGGACAGUACAUGAUACUCUGGUCGCAAGUCCUUGGACUCCACAUAAGCAUGAUUAGUUUGCACUCCAGCCUUGCAGAUAGCUUCUACAACUGUAUCCCAGUGGGAUGAAGAUUGAAAUCCCCCUGAUGUAUAGAGAAGACCAGUAGUGUCCACGUUCAUCCCCAAAAGCUCUCCAAUAGUAUGUGGGGUAACGAGGACCUUCUGCUGACGCACGAAUGUCUCAAAUAGAAAAGUCCCGGUCUCCUCAUCCUCUGCGAGUACCUUCCCGUUCAUAUAGAACUCACGAAUGAGUUCCACACAAAAUGGAGCGCGUGCAGGAAACUGACCAACUGGCUCAAUAGGAACUCGCUGAAGUAGCCGCCCGAAGUCAGGAACGUCAUGUAUAAGAUCAUUGAAGUUGAUAUAACGCUCGGCAAUGCAUGACUUGCUCAUGAACAUCCUCCGCCGCUCUGGGGGAACAUCCGCGGCCUGUUUUGAACGACCCUCACGAGCACGAGAACCACCUCGUGAGGACUUUCCAGCUAUACCCUUUCCUUUGUCAGGACAAGCAACAGGUUCUUCCGCUUCCUCGGGAGAACUAGCCUGAUAAUCUGGAUCAGAACCAGAUGCCUCAGUAGUAGUACGUGUCCUCUCAGAGGCCCCUCGAUGACCCCUACCACGCCCACGACCGCUCCCAGUGGCCAUAAGCACCAGCAAUGUCAACACGAGGAAAAACGCCAUUUUCCUACACAAUAAGAGCAUAUAUGAACACAAUUUUUUCGAAAAAUUUGUAAAAAUAGCGAAAAAAUUUCUAAUAUUCUUAGAAUGCAUACUAAUGCUAUUUCAAACUAAUUCAUGCAAAAAAAUUUCAUCAAAAAUUGAUAUUUCAACACAAAUCCCGAAAUUCCAAGCAUAUCGAAAUCUAGAUCACAAAUCAGCGAAAAAUAAUACGUUUUGACAUGAUUGAAGUGACUUAGAAGCAAGAUAAUAUCCAUAAACACUAAUCUACAGCAAAAAGUUGCAUAAAAAAUGAUUAAAAAUAGAGAUCUAACAUGAACUCGAAAUUUCUUCGAAAAAAUGCAAAAACGAGAUGAAAUCAUGAAAUCCCAACAAAAGACUUACAGAUUUAGGGGGGAACUUCGUGGAUCUGGAGGAAGAGGAUCCCAGGGAGUCGUAGAAAUAGAGAGAAAGAGAUUUGGUUUUGAUUUUUGGAAGAAAUAAAACCCUAUAACCGGUUAUAUAAGCCGCUACUACAGUAACCGUACCGGUACACGGGUUUGUGUACUGGUACACAGCCCAGAUUUCAAAAAAAUUGCAUUAAAAAUCUAUUUAACUUAAAUUAAUUUUAUAUAAAUUAAGAAUUUUAUUCCAAAAAUUAUUAUAAUGAAAAUAAAAUAUUAUAAGAUUUCAAAAUACAUCAAAACACCAAAAUUUCAUUAUAAAAAAUGACCUCAAGUUUCAAAAUCAUCAAGAUGUAACGGUUCACGAAAAAUGAUUUUUAGAAAUUCGGCAAAAUUGACACCAAUUUGUCACAAUCCGUUCAAAAUAGAGAUUUAACUAAUAUGAUACCGGGGGUGGUUUUUUGAGCAUCUUUUUCAAACUAACACCUUAUAACUCCGAAAAUUCUAAAAUAUUCAAUUUUUUUUCCAACCUUUUCGGUUAUUCAAUUCAAUCUUCAUGUGGUAGCUCUACACACUUGCCGGACGACCGGGGUGGUAGCUCUUUCCUACAUGUGGUGGUAGUUUUCAUACUACUUUUGGAUGUAACUCUUUCCAUAUCUUUUAAACAUAGGAGUAUUUUUCCCUUUUUUUUAAAUACAUCAAAACUCUCCCUUAAUUAGACAAUCUCACAAUUGAAAGUAAUUUUGAUAAAAUUUUAGUCGAUUAGUGAAUAUCCAUCCAUUAUAUUCAACACUCUCAACCGAGAUAGAUUAAUCACCAAGAGAUCAAAUUUGAUUUCAAAAUUUUUAUGAAUAUAUGUAUUAAGAAAUCAUAUAUUAAAUUAUCGUCAAGAUAAUAAACAGUGGAGUAAAAUCGAUAAUUAAUAUGAAUUUAAUUCAAGAUGAAUUCCGGUUAAAACACUUUGAAAAAUUCUAAUCUCCCCAAAAUAAAGAUUUUCAAUCGUCUCCUUCCUUAAAGAAAAAUUUUAAAUUUCCAAACACCUUUCCUCAAAAACAAAUAAAAUUCAAGCACCAAAAAUCGUCUAAAUAUGUAAUGCAAUGAAUAAAAAUAUGCAACAAGCACCAAUCAAAGCAUUUACAUAAAAAAUCAAAAACGAACUAAGAUGUAGAACAAGGAAAGAUAUUACCUUUUCGAAUCCAAACUUGUCGGAUUUUGCGUUGUCUUGUCUUGUCGACGUUAGGUGCCGUUUGCUUUGAUUUUUGAUCAACUGUUGGUCGUUUCGUCGCUUGAGGCUUCAGAACCCUCAUAGCUUGCGAUUUAGGUUGACCAUGGCGUUGCGGCUUAGAAAUCCGGUUUGCUUGCGAUGCUUGAUUCAAUUGAUCUUUCUUUUGAUUCCUUGGGGGAUGUUGAGUCGUAGAUUGUGCCGAUUGAGCUUUAGAAGUUGCCGAAUGAUUCUUCUUUAUUUUUACGGGGCAACUCUUUUUGAUGUGUCCUGUGUUUCCACAUCGAUGACAUACUUUUUCCUUUAAAGUUGUUGAGACUUUAGAUGUCGCCGUUUGAUCCUUCUGAACAUAUGUCCUUUCAUAUCCAAGACCAAGCUUGUUCGUUUGACCCAAUCCGAGCAUAUGAUCCAAUUUCUUUAAUCCGGAAGAGAACUUUUGAAUGUCGGAUUGAAGUUGACGAACUUGACUAGUUAAGACUUGAUUGGAUGCAUGAAUUUCCUGAAAUUGAUGCUCCAAAAAUUCAAUCUUAUCUUUAGAAGAUUUGAUAGUUGAUUCCGCUUCAUCUAGCUUCUCUUGGAGGAUAGAUUUAUUUUUCAAAUUUGCUUCCCUUUCCUCCUCGAGAGCUUUAUUCAAAGUCUUUAAGUUGUUGUUUUACUCCUCAACACCCAAAAGACGACGCCUCAACUUCUUAUUAUGUUUGGCCAUUUUCUUCGACUCAAUAAGAAGUUGAUUGUACGCUUCCGCUAUGUCGUUGUCGUUUGAUUCCUCCUCGCUUUCGCCAUUGUCACUCGAAGAGUGAUGCGAAGAAAGAGAAAUAUUGGAAUUAGUAGCAAUAGAGGAUAAACAAACAACGUUAGAUAAAGGUAAAGAAGUGUUAGUAAAUAAAGCAACAUGAUCACUCUUUUCUUCAUCACUUGAAGAUGAUUCACUAGAAGAAGAGCCAUCCCAAGUUUUUGCUUGCAAAGCCUUUUGUUUAUAAGUCUUUUUAGAAGGACAAUCCGUUGCAAUAUGACCGUAGCCUUUACAUUUGUAGAAUUGGAUUUCCCCUUGAAAUUCAUCCUUUUUUUUUUGAAUACUUUGCAAGUUUUUUAUCCUUAGAUUUAGAACUUGAAGAUUGUCUUGAAAAAGAUUUAUGCUUCGAAGAUGAAGCCUUGUCCGAAUUGUUCUUCUUUCAGAAAUUCCGUCGGAACUUUUUCGUUAGGAGCGCUAAUUGAUGUUCAAAGUCGGCGAGCGAAAUCUCUCCGUCGGAAUCGGAGUCGUCAUCUUCUCUUUUUGUCGAUUUGAGUGCAACCCCUGUAUUUUUAGAAGAAGACUUGGAAGAAGAUUGGUUAGUAGGAAAAGUCAUCUCAUACGUUUGUAAAGCGCCUACUAACUCUUCGACUUUCAUCUCGUCCGGAUGCUUAACGGUUUCGAUCGCGGCAACCUUUGCCCGAAAGCGUUCCGGAAGAGUUCGAAGAAUCUUUCUAACAACCUUUGCAUCCGGAAUUUUCUCUCCCAAGUUAGCGUACGUAUUGACUACGUCUUGUGGACGCGUGUAGUACUCGGUAAAGGUCUCGUUUUCUUCUAUAAAAAUCGAGUCAAAUUUGCUUGUUAGCAUUUGUAAUUUUUGAACCUUUACUAAGCUUGUUCCUUCAUGCGUAACUUGUAGAGUAUCCCAAAUUUUCUUUGCCGUUUCGCAUGCCGAAACACGAGUAAACUCUGUUUGCGAUAAAGCGUUGAAUAAAGCAUUAAUUCCUUUACCGUUAAACGAAGAUGACUCGUUUUCAUCUUUCGUCCACUUGUUCCGUGGUUUAGGAACGGUAGCAUUAUCGAUGACUUCGGUAGGAUGCUUCCAACCGAAUUCAAUAGCUUUCCACACCCGCUCAUCGAUUGCGAUUAUAUAAGCUCUCAUGCGAACUUUUCAAUAGGCAUAAUUCGUGCCAUCGAAGAGUGGUGGUCGAUUAAUGUUACCGCCUUCGGCCAUUAGAUAUCAAUAUAUCUAGAUCCCGCUCUGAUACCGAUUGUAAGUUUUGAGGAGCCCAAGGAUCUAUCUAGAUUGUAUCUAACACCUAGAGGGGGGUGAAUAGGUGUAAUAGCCAAAACCCACAAAUCUCAAUGCGAUAAAAGUAAAUGCGGAAAAUAAAAAUCACACCGAAAUUUACGUGGGAAAACUCCAACUUUGAGAAAAACUUAAGGGACCAACACGCGAAAAAAUAUUUCACUAAGAGAAAAGAUUACAAGGUGAUUACCGACUUCACAGACUCGACCUCUCUUAACCUCCUAUGAAUCUAGCGCAAACCUCCGGGUUGUCCACGCCCUCACGUUCGAAUCCACGAACGCCACGUUCCGAAUCCACGAAACGCCUCCUGUCACGCCCCGGGACCGGCAGAGGCCCUCCCGGUAGCGCGCCCAGACCCGCCAUAUGUCUACACAUAUAAGGCGUCUACAACAACAGCAGAAAUAAAGCAAGAGAUGAUCUACAACUAGAGAUUUCAGAGCAAGUACACAUCUAUAAUCUAUGAUAAGAGAAGUUGGAACAAACUAAAUAAUAAAGAGGAAACAUAAAGUUAUACACUAACCAUCUCAAAAAGUACACAAAAUAGGUGGUCUCUAAUACACUGGUACAACUCUCAACCUCUCCAAAAAGAAAACAAAGAGAGGUAGACCACCUAUCGACGCGUCCCUCAAAGUAAGCUAGCUCGAGGCGAUACCCUUUCCGCGGUCCCUAGCCUCUCCCGGAGUGGAAGGCUCUGAAAUAAAACAUAAAACAAAAGGGCAUGAGAACUAUAAUUUAUAGUUCCCAGUGGGCAAUUACUGACCUCAGCUCAAUGCACCAUUAGGCCCCAAAAGAAAGGGUAAGUACGAUAAGCAACAAUAGUAGUAAUAGACAAUAAUAAACUGCAGAAUUGAAAGCAUGAGUGAAAUACUAUGCCACAAGUAAACGUGAUGUAUAUCAAUGCUAUCAUGUUUGAAUAUGCCAAUGUCGGGUCAAUACGCUCAUCAGCUGCCAAGUAUACUAAGAUGCGAUGAGUAAUUCUAUCAAGUAUACUACAUGUCCCAAUAUCUCAAAGCUACACUAUGAGUAUGUCCAAUAAUCCAGCUACUAUAAUCUAUUUAGCAGUGAUUCAAAUUUAAGAGGUUAUGUCCAACUUCAAUCUUGUUUUGGGACCUACACGAGUGUAGUCCGGCAUGCGCCGCCUAAGUGUUGGUGGUAGGUCUAGCAUUUUCACUCUGGAAAUGAGUCUAUCCCUUCCGAUUCCGUAGGCUUUUCGAUGCUGCACGAGCGAUCAUAAGUCGCGUAGGCCAACUCCGGAGUGCCGGCUUAUAGGGAGCGACCCUCACAAGUAUGUGCGAAUGAGCACAAAUGGCAAACAAGCAUAAUCAUCGUCUCAAGUACCCAAUCAUCAUGUCUCUAACAUGGUAAAACUCACUAGUAACCCGAAGGUCUAGUUCUAUGUCUCAAUAUGAGAUUUAAUCGUUCAAUAAUUUCUAUGUCAAUGACCAUAGUUUUACUACGUCAAAUCUAAGCCCAAUGCCCCUUUUGUGACAUUAGCUUACUAAAUCAUGCAUCAUGUACAUCUAUGUUCUUUGAUGGCAUUAUAUUACGCUAAGUCCAAAUUUUGUCCCAACACUAGUGCCGCUUUAUGACACUAGGUUUCACUUGUCCCAACUACAUUACAAGCCCAAUGCCCCUUUAUGAUAUUGGCUCAAUACUAAGCUAAUAGUGUAAGUUUCAAGCCUCUUCAUGGCAUUAUGUAUGGUCCUUUGUCGAACAUGAGAGUUAUGUCUAAAUGCACAUUAUCCUUCUCAUUCUCACUAUAUAAAACAUGCUCUUGAGUCAUAUCUAGAAAGCUAAGCACAUGCAUAAGUUUCACAUGCCACUCUCUACUACAUAGAGGUCCAAAAAUGCAUUAUAUAUAAUGUAGGCAUUUUAAGCAUUCUAAAAUUCACAAUAAAUACAUUUAUCAUGAAAAUGUAUGAAUUUCUACUUUACGAAGCAUAAAACAUCAGAUAUGAGAAUUUUUCAUAUGCUAGGCUAGGUCAAACCGACCGGAGCGUCUCGAACCCUUUCGUUUCACCGAACGGGGUUGCCCACUAGCCUUCUAGCUCUCUAGAAGACAUUCUAAAAGGGAUAAGCGAAUCGAACGAACAACCAUGUGAUCGAACAUUAACCAAAUCGACAAAAGAGCUAAAACUCACCUAUAGUGUGAAAAUCUCUCCUCAAGCUCCAAAAGAGAGCUAGAACCCUUCCAUUCCAUCCUAAAGGAAGGUUCUAAUCCUAUUAGAUUAGCCUCAAAAGCCUCUAAUCAAAAAGCCCCAAAAUCAACCCUAGGUUUCCAAUCUAGGGUUUCAUCUACCAUAAAGCAACAAAACUUAAAUCUAGAGGGAGAGAAUGGGCUACCAACCUCUUAGAAGCUUCAAUCCAAGCUCAAAGUCCUCAAACUUCAAAGAUCUUCCCUCAACCAAGCUUCAAAUCCAAAGUCCAAGCUUCAUUCAUGGAGGAUAGUUCACCAAAGCACCAAAAGAAGCAAAAGGAGGUGAUUAUUCCUCUAAUAAUCCAAGAAAUAGGUAAGGAAAUCAAAGGGAGAAGUUUCGUACCUCUUCCUCUGCUGGUGGAAGGCUCAGGGAGAGCCCUAGGGGCGUGGGGUGCUAUAUAGAAUAGCCACAAUUGCAAAAACACCCCUGCAGUUCGCUCAGAUCAGAUCUGCCACUGUGUACCGGUACACGAGCCCGCGUACCGGUACAGGUCCCACGGAAAUAGCAAACCGAGCCUCAGGUUUGCUUGAAAGCGGUCUGUGUACCGGUACACGGCGGCGUACCGGUACAACCAUUAACCCUGUACCGGUACAGCCAUCAACCUUGUACCGGUACAUAGCCUGCUGAAGGCUACUCGAGAGCUGACCAAAAAUUCGACUUUUCGAGUUUUGGUGCAAAGCUUUAAACCUCAAUUCUCGGGAUGCGAGCCAUAGGUCGGAACACUGUCAACGACCCACCAGAAAGUCUGAAAAAACUCAGAACACAACCAAUCACUCGAACCUCGCAAUUUGCGAAGGUCGAGUGCAUUACACCUCCACUCCGAAUCCACGAAGCUCACGAUCUGAAUCCACGAACCGCCGUCAAUCACGCCGAAU